UACGUAGGCAGCAAGCGUUGUUCGGAAUUACUGGGCGUAAAGAGUGUGUAGGCGGUGUUCCAAGUCUGGUGUGAAAUCUCCCGGCUUAACUGGGAGGGUGCAUUAGAAACUGGAAUGCUAGAGGAUGGGAGAGGUAAGCGGAAUUCCUGGUGUAGCGGUGAAAUGCGUAGAUAUCAGGAGGAACACCUGUGGUGUAGACAGCUUACUGGACCAUUUCUAACGCUGAGACACGAAAGCGUGGGUAGCAAACAGG
rnacentral:rRNA from 1 species